ACGGCCUUCGGGUUGUAAACCUCUUUUAGUAGGGAAGAAGCGUAACAGUGACGGUACCUGCAGAAAAAGCACCGGCUAACUACGUGCCAGCAGCCGCGGUAAUACGUAGGGUGCAAGCGUUGUCCGGGAUUAUUGGGCGUAAAGAGCUCGUAGGCGGUUUGUCGCGUCUGCUGUGAAAACCCGAGGCUCAACCUCGGGCCUGCAGUGGGUACGGGCAGACUAGAGUGCGGUAGGGGAGAUUGGAAUUCCUGGUGUAGCGGUGGAAUGCGCAGAUAUCAGGAGGAACACCAAUGGCGAAGGCAGAUCUCUGGGCCGUAACUGACGCUGAGGAGCGAAAGCAUGGGGAGCGAACAGGAUUAGAUACCCUGGUAGUCCAUGCCGUAAACGUUGGGAACUAGAUGUGGGGACCAUUCCACGGUCUCCGUGUCGCAGCUAACGCAUUAAGUUCCCCGCCUGGGGAGUACGGCCGCAAGGCUAAAACUCAAAGGAAUUGACGGAAUCGAAUU
rnacentral:rRNA from 1 species